UACGUAGGUUGCGAGCGUUAAUCGGAAUUACUGGGCGUAAAGCGUGCGCAGGCGGUUUUGUAAGCCAUAUGUGAAAUCCUCGGGCUUAACCUGGGAAUGGCAUUUGGGACUGCAAGGCUGGAGUGCGGCAGAGGAGACUGGAAUUCCUGGUGUAGCAGUGAAAUGCGUAGAUAUCAGGAGGAACACCGAUGGCGAAGGCAGGUCUCUGGGCUGACACUGACGCUCAUGCACGAAAGAGUGGGGUGCAAACAGG
rnacentral:rRNA from 1 species